rnacentral:lncRNA from 1 species
GGGGAACUGUACCGUAUAAAUCAUGUUGGUGGAGGCUUUGGUGAACCUGAGUGGUCUAAAGGAUCUUUUUGUCUCCUCCGCAUUCUCUUCUUUGAAGUCGAGCAUCUCUUCGUCAGGAUCAAUGUCAGCUUUGAACUUCGAGGCUGUCUUUAUGGUACGGUUAUAACAAUCCCUAGAGUCAUAUUGACAACCUUUGAUACAACCUACCCCCCUGGGAGUUGGGAACUUCAUAGAC